ensembl:lncRNA
UUGCCAGCUCAUAUUUUCCGGAAAGGCGUUUCAUCAGCUGAACAAUUGGUAUGUUGUUAUAAAAAAAACGUUAAACUCUGCACUUCUGUCCUUCACAGCCUCUUUUUCAUCCUGUCGAAACUUAAAUAUGGCAUCACCCUGAGUAAGAUCUACGUUCUCAGCAAUGCAAAUCCAUCUACUCUGGUGCUACUUAUAAUUUUGGGUCUGCAUUUCUUUUAGAAAGAAAAAAAAGUGCAUUUUAUAUAGGCAGAGUUAUAUCUGGCUGCUGGCUCCUUCCUUUUUAGGAGAGCGUGGUCUGGAAGCUGUUCAUGGUUGUGCAGGUUUUAAUGAACUCGUACUCUUACGUAAGCACUGUUGCAGAUCUUGGCUUCUCAUUGUGCAGUUGAGUAAGAAUCUGUUCAUCAUGUUGUAAGAUCAGAUAUGUCCACUUUGAUUCAGUGAAACAGGAGAAAUUAAAGUAGAUACAGCAGCAUUACAAGUUAAAGAAGUGAGUGAGAACUGUUAACAGACUUUCAAAAUAACAAGAUGCUAAUUCAUGAAGACAGUCUCUCAGGCCUUGUUGAUUUUUUUUCCCACUUUCUAGCAUCUAAAAUGUAUUUGAUCAUUCAUUAGAGACCAAGCAAUCACCUAAACAACUGAGAACUAUCAUUAGCAAUUAUAAACUGUAUCAGUCAGGAAAGCUGCUUGCACUCAGAGCAAGAUCUUUUUUUUUUUUUUUUAUGCUUACUGACAUACUCAACCUAAAAGCAGUUUGCUUUCUAACUCCUAGUUUUCACCUUUGUCUUCACAGGUCACUUUACACUGGAUCUGCACUGCAGCAUGCUUGCAUCAUCAAUAGUCAACUUGGUUGGCAGCCAAUUCCAAUGCAAGACAUCCACAUAAAAAGAGCUGGGGUGCCUAAUUUCUGCAGAAAUGUUCUCUGAGUCACCAAAGAUUAUUGUUAACAUGUCCAGUCUAAGAAUUCUGAUGCCAUUUUAUAGAAAAUCAUUCAUUUGAGCCAUGCUUGCUUCAGUAGUAACUGUCUAGACUGAGGUACAUCUCUUCAUAGACUAAACUAACUCAAGAAAUUAGAAAGCCAAUAGAUAAGUUCGAUAAAGUGUAGAAAUCAUGUGUUUAGUAUGGUGGAGAUUAUUUAAUUAUUUUGUGUGUCCAAAGACGAUCUAUUCUGUGUGAUUUAAGACGAUCAGCGAUUAAGUGUUUCUUUUGCACAGUACUAAGAAUAAAGGGCAGAUUCAUUUGAAUGUUAUGAAAUCUAUGAAUUUGCCUUUAUUUGUUGGAACGCUUUCAUUUGUAGGUGGAAAUUGUGAGCCAGGUCACUGACAUGAGGAUGACAUUGUCAUACUAUUACUAGUGCUUUACAGUGACAUUAGUAACAAGUUAACAGGCUUGCUGAACUGGAUGAUUAUUGUUUGCCUCAUGUUCCUCUAAUCAUACAUAGCAUUUAUUUCAUGCUCUAAGUCUAACACAAUGACUGUUUUUGAUUUUAAUUUUGAUUAGGGUGACAGUAUAAAAUUGUAACUAAUUUACACUAAACAAAUCUUUAAAAUACUAGUGAUGAACAUGGGCAUUUAAUUAAAUAUUUUGCAUUGAGAUUCAUAAUGAACACAGGGAUGUUUGUGCAGGUAAAUUAAACCAGUUCAUUCACAUGAACUUAUUCAUUAUAAUAAUCUCAGUCAUUGCGCAUUGAGGAAAAAGUACCCAGAACUGUAUAACAUGUCGAUUUCCAGUUCUGCCUAGUACAAAGAUGCAAGUCAGCACUGGAAAAACAAACAUAUGAUUAUUGAACUUAAAAAUGACCAUUAUCCACACCUUCACAAACAGACAGGUUGACAGAUCCAUAUUAACUUGUUUAAAUGGUCUCCUCAUGUUUGUGUACUGACUAGAUGGUUAAAGAGUGUCGAGAUCUCAGUUUGUUGGUACCAGCCAGUGAAUGUCCAGGGUGCCAAAUCCUUCAGCCACAGUCUGAACAGCAAUUGGAUUGUUGUUUUAGGAUGUGUCCACAAGCUUAUCUAAUCUGAUUGACUGAGAUAAAGUAAAGCAAACAGCUCUGACCGUGUCAGAGUGGAAAAUCUCAUUCUGUCAAAUCAAUCGUGACUUUAUUCAAGAGAGCAUCUAGAGAUCUUGUUAAUUACACUGAAAAGAUGCCUCCACAUCUAUUGUGCUUCUCUUUUACAUUCCUGUCAUUGAAAUAAACAGGCCUCCCGUUUAUCCAUAGACAUUGGCUGCUGCUAAGUACCAUGCAUGCACUUGAUUUAAUUAGAGACGACGCACAUGGUAAAUACAACCGACUGGUUUGGCUGGUUCAUAUACGCCACAGUUCGCAUGCAGGUAAUGGGUGAAUCUGUAUAGCGUGGUACGUUAUAGUGUUACUGCUCAAUGAGCUGAUGUCUUGAGAAAUUUGACAGUCAUCAUGACAUUCUAUUACAUUGUUUACUUUAAGUUUUCAAGUUCAAAUGGCUAAUUGCUUACUGUAUCUUAAAUUGAUAUCUUACAGUAAAGUUUGCAAGUUCAAGCUGAAUUUAUUAAGGGGUAUAAAGGCGGAGAUAAAUAAUCUCUCGAUAGUCUAACAGUUCACAGUAAGUGCAUUUAAUACGUUUUGUUUGCAUAAACUAAUAAUCAUAAUUUUGUACAUAGUAGGAAUGUGC